rnacentral:ncRNA from 1 species
CGGUGUUAAGGGCAAACUCACCGAAAGGUGAAGAUGCAGAGCUAUAGGGCUUAAGUUGUUCUGCACUAUGAUAGCCUGGUUGCUGCU